UACGAAGGGGGCUAGCGUUGCUCGGAAUCACUGGGCGUAAAGCGCACGUAGGCGGAUUUUUAAGUCAGGGGUGAAAUCCUGGAGCUCAACUCCAGAACUGCCUUUGAUACUGGGAAUCUCGAGUCCGGAAGAGGUGAGUGGAACUGCGAGUGUAGAGGUGAAAUUCGUAGAUAUUCGCAAGAACACCAGUGGCGAAGGCGGCUCACUGGCCCGUAACUGACGCUGAGGCACGAAAGCGUGGGGAGCAACAGGG
rnacentral:rRNA from 1 species